rnacentral:rRNA from 1 species
UGACCGCUGGCGGCGUGCCUAAUACAUGCAAGUCGAGCGAACAGAUGAGGAGCUUGCUCCUCUGACGUUAGCGGCGGACGGGUGAGUAACACGUGGAUAACCUACCUAUAAGACUGGGAUAACUUCGGGAAACCGGAGCUAAUACCGGAUAAUAUAUUGAACCGCAUGGUUCAAUAGUGAAAGACGGUUUUGCUGUCACUUAUAGAUGGAUCCGCGCCGCAUUAGCUAGUUGGUAAGGUAACGGCUUACCAAGGCAACGAUGCGUAGCCGACCUGAGAGGGUGAUCGGCCACACUGGAACUGAGACACGGUCCAGAAUCCUACGGGAGGCAGCAGUAGGGAAUCUUCCGCAAUGGGCGAAAGCCUGACGGAGCAACGCCGCGGGAGUGAUGAAGGUCUUCGGAUCGUAAAACUCUGUUAUUAGGGAAGAACAAAUGUGUAAGUAACUAUGCACGUCUUGACGGUACCUAAUCAGAAAGCCACGGCUAACUACGU